rnacentral:rRNA from 1 species
GAUCCUGGCUCAGAUUGAACGCUGGCGGCAGGCUUAACACAUGCAAGUCGAGCGGUAACAGACAUUUUGAUUUUGCUUGCAAAAUCUCGUGCUGACGAGCGGCGAACGGGUGAGUAACGCGUAGGAAUCUACCUAGUAGUGGGGGAUAGCCAAGGGAAACUUUGGGUAAUACCGCAUACGAUCUAAGGAUGAAAGGGGGCCUCUCUUUGAAGCUCUCGCUAUUAGAUGAGCCUGCGUAAGAUUAGCUUGUUGGUGGGGUAA